rnacentral:rRNA from 1 species
CGGCGGACGGGUGAAGUAACACGUGGGUAACCUGCCCAUAAGACUGGGAUAACUCCGGGAAACCGGGGCUAAUACCGGAUAACAUUUUGAACUGCAUGGUUCGAAAUUGAAAGGCGGCUUCGGCUGUCACUUAUGGAUGGACCCGCGUCGCAUUAGCUAGUUGGUGAGGUAACGGCUCACCAAGGCAACGAUGCGUAGCCGACCUGAGAGGGUGAUCGGCCACACUGGGACUGACACACGGCCCAUACUCCUACGGGAGGCAGCAGUAGGGAAUCUUCCGCAAUGGACGAAAGUCUGACGGAGCAACGCCGCGUGAGUGAUGAAGGCUUUCGGGUCGUAAAACUCUGUUGUUAGGGAAGAACAAGUGCUAGUUGAAUAAGCUGGCACCUUGACGGUACCUAACCAGAAAGCCACGGCUAACUACAUGCCAGCAGCCGCGGUAAUACGUAGGUGGCAAGCGUUAUCCGGAAUUAUUGGGCGUAAAGCGCGCGCAGGUGGUUUCU